rnacentral:lncRNA from 1 species
AGUUAAUAAAGUGGCAAGCUAAACAAAUGGACCCAAAUGCCACACCAGCAGCUGUAGCUGGUCAGCAGGAGGGCACUCUGCCAUAUACCCCUCAGCUGCACACGUGCACCGUCAUCAUGUAAGCGUUACUAUUUUGCCAAGAGGCUUGAAGCUCUGAGCCAAAGUUGGACCAAGAACCAGAAGAAAAAAGAAUACUAAGUGGUGAAGGGAGUCCCAGAAGCCAUACGUAAAAGCAGCUUCCUCAGAAAACUGACACACACUGCAGACUCCCAUGGCACUGACUCUAAGGGUUCAGCACACUCUAAUUAGCCUUUGGAUAACACCAACCCUACUGGUCCAUUUCCAGGGCUUUCGCUUCAGUCACUGCAAUGCUAAGGAGCUUUAUUCAAAUCUCUAACUCCACUACUUACACAAUUGUGUUUUGUCCCUUUUCUCCCCUCUGAGUGCUAACCAUUUUUUGCCUCGUUUGACCUUUGAUUUUGCAAAGCAGCAGGCACUCAUAGCACAUCUGGUUCUUGAGAAUGGCUCAGGUGAACAGGCAGCUCCAACUCCUGCUUAAGCAACAGGCCAGAAUCUAAACCUUCUGCUACUUCAGAAAUUAAAGGUAGAUGUGUGCAGCAACAGAGACAUUGCAGCUGACUGCAGACCACAACUACUGAUCAUUUUGUACUACUGCAUACUCAGUGUUCUCCCCAGAUUCCACACUGAUGCAAUUAGGUAAGGUUCUCAGACUAUCAAGAAUGUGACUCAAUGCCAUUAACUUUUGGAGCACUGAUCUGUUAUGUCUGAAAACAAGGCACUGAUGCAGUACGUGCUUCUGCAUUUAUAAGAUUCCCACAAAAAUUUAUUUUUCCCCAUUGGAAAAAAAACCUAGUGAUGAAUUCACAGGAAAGCCCUUUCUUAGGGAUCUCAAGCGGGAUUUCUUCCUCUACAUAAUCACAAUUCCUUGUGACCUCUGUCAGUCACUCCUUUCUGCUAACUAAUUAGAAAAAACCCUAACCUGCUCCCUGAUACCAUGCUAGCCAGCACUCUAGCACUGCCUGAAGAAGUUAGUUACAUGUUUCCUGAAGACAGACAGACACCCCUUCAGCCUCUAUGAAUAAACCAAACACUACACUCGAGCACAGCUCACUUUAUAGCCAAGCUGCUUGUUCUGGGCCACAGCAGCCAUACAAACCUGAGAACAAAGAAAAAAAAAAAGAAAGAAAACCGACUGGAAACAAACUUAAAGCACAUUGGAACACUUUUUCCAUGGAAUAAAAACAACGCAGAAAGGAGGAAGAUUUGGAGGGCACUCAUUACACAGCGCUGAGGCCAGGCAUGGUGCCAGCCUUUACUCGGAUACAAUCAUUUUGCAGCACAUUUGCUUUUAAAGUUACCAGCCAGAGGUGAAUAAAGGAAGG